AGAGUUUGAUCCUGGCUCAGAACGAACGCUGGCGGCAUGCCUAACACAUGCAAGUCGAACGAAGGCUUCGGCCUUAGUGGCGCACGGGUGAGUAACGCGUGGGAACCUGCCUUCUGGUUCGGGAUAACUGCGGGAAACUGCGGCUAAUACCGGAUGUACCCUAUGGGGGAAAGAUUUAUCGCCGGAAGAGGGGCCCGCGU
rnacentral:rRNA from 1 species